rnacentral:rRNA from 1 species
UAACACUUAGAAAUAGGUGCUAAUACCGCAUAACAACAGAAAGCGCAUGCUUUUUGUUUGAAAACCAAGGUGGUAUGGGAUGGACCCGCGUCUGAUUAGCUGGUUGGCGGGGUAAAGGCCCACCAAGGCGACGAUCAGUAGCCGGCCUGAGAGGGUGGACGGCCACAUUGGGACUGAGACACGGCCCAAACUCCUACGGGAGGCAGCAGUGGGGAAUAUUGCACAAUGGGGGAAACCCUGAUGCAGCGACGCCGCGUGAGUGAAGAAGUAAUUCGUUAUGUAAAGCUCUAUCAGCAGGGAAGAAAAUGACGGUACCUGAGUAAGAAGCCCCGGCUAACUACGUGCCAGCAGCCGCGGUAAUACGUAGGGGGCAAGCGUUAUCCGGAUUUACUGGGUGUAAAGGGAGCGUAGACGGCAGUGCAAGUCUGGAGUGAAAGGCGGGGGCUCAACCCCCGGACUGCUCUGGAAACUGUACGGCUGGAGUGCAGGAGAGGUAAGUGGAAUUCCUAGUGUAGCGGUGAAAUGCGUAGAUAUUAGGAGGAACACCAGUGGCGAAGGCGGCUUACUGGACUGUAACUGACGUUGAGGCUCGAAAGCGUGGGGAGCAAACAGGAUUAGAUACCCUGGUAGUCCACGCCGUAAACGAUGAUCACUAGGUGU